rnacentral:rRNA from 1 species
UAGGGUGCGAGCGUUAAUCGGAAUUACUGGGCGUAAAGGGUGCGCAGGCGGUUGAGUAAGACAGAUGUGAAAUCUCCGAGCUUAACUCGGGAAUGGCAUAUGUGACUGCUCGACUAGAGUGUGUCAGAGGGAGGUGGAAUUCCACGUGUAGCAGUGAAAUGCGUAGAUAUGUGGAAGAACACCGAUGGCGAAGGCAGCCUCCUGGGACAUAACUGACGCUCAGGCACGAAAGCGUGGGGAGCAAA